GCUCCGGCUCCGGCACGGCUUCAACCACCGUCCAAGAAGCGGUGCAUGGCUCCCGAGUCAACUCAGUCGAGCGCACUAGCCAUGAUGGGCAUGGGGCCUUACUAUCCGCCAUUCCAGAAUGAGUGCUACUCUAAGAGUGAGACUACGGCUGAUCACGACCAUGAGUAUGAGCUGAAAGAGCAAAUCUCGAGCUUGGAGAAGAUCCUGGGCCUGGAUGAGCCGGUGACGCCGAAUGAGGUGACGAGUGGACUCGGAAUGGGGGAACCGGAGUCGUCGGACCUGUGGAUGCUGGAUGACCUGGUCACACAUCACCAGCAGCAAGGCUAUGAUCAUCAGCUCGUAUAUUAGGGAAAGCGACCGCCGUUGAUGUUAUGGUGUAU
rnacentral:lncRNA from 1 species